rnacentral:rRNA from 1 species
GAACGCUGGCGGCAGGCCUAACACAUGCAAGUCGAACGGUAACAGGAAGAAGCUUGCUUCUUUGCUGACGAGUGGCGGACGGGUGAGUAAUGUCUGGGAAACUGCCUGAUGGAGGGGGAUAACUACUGGAAACGGUAGCUAAUACCGCAUAACGUCGCAAGACCAAAGAGGGGGACCUUCGGGCCUCUUGCCAUCGGAUGUGCCCAGAUGGGAUUAGCUAGUAGGUGGGGUAACGGCUCACCUAGGCGACGAUCCCUAGCUGGUCUGAGAGGAUGACCAGCCACACUGGAACUGAGACACGGUCCAGACUCCUACGGGAGGCAGCAGUGGGGAAUAUUGCACAAUGGGCGCAAGCCUGAUGCAGCCAUGCCGCGUGUAUGAAGAAGGCCUUCGGGUUGUAAAGUACUUUCAGCGGGGAGGAAGGGAGUAAAGUUAAUACCUUUGCUCAUUGACGUUACCCGCAGAAGAAGCACCGGCUAACUCCGUGCCAGCAGCCGCGGUAAUACGGAGGGUGCAAGCGUUAAUCGGAAUUACUGGGCGUAAAGCGCACGCAGGCGGUUUGUUAAGUCAGAUGUGAAAUCCCCGGGCUCAACCUGGGAACUGCAUCUGAUACUGGCAAGCUUGAGUCUCGUAGAGGGGGGUAGAAUUCCAGGUGUAGCGGUGAAAUGCGUAGAGAUCUGGAGGAAUACCGGUGGCGAAGGCGGCCCCCUGGACGAAGACUGACGCUCAGGUGCGAAAGCGUGGGGAGCAAACAGGAUUAGAUACCCUGGUAGUCCACGCCGUAAACGAUGUCGACUUGGAGGUUGUGCCCUUGAGGCGUGGCUUCCGGAGCUAACGCGUUAAGUCGACCGCCUGGGGAGUACGGCCGCAAGGUUAAAACUCAAAUGAAUUGACGGGGGCCCGCACAAGCGGUGGAGCAUGUGGUUUAAUUCGAUGCAACGCGAAGAACCUUACCUGGUCUUGACAUCCACAGAACUUUCCAGAGAUGGAUUGGUGCCUUCGGGAACUGUGAGACAGGUGCUGCAUGGCUGUCGUCAGCUCGUGUUGUGAAAUGUUGGGUUAAGUCCCGCAACGAGCGCAACCCUUAUCCUUUGUUGCCAGCGGUCCGGCCGGGAACUCAAAGGAGACUGCCAGUGAUAAACUGGAGGAAGGUGGGGGUGACGUCAAGUCAUCAUGGCCCUUACGACCAGGGCUACACACGUGCUACAAUGGCGCAUACAAAGAGAAGCGACCUCGCGAGAGCAAGCGGACCUCAUAAAGUGCGUCGUAGUCCGGAUUGGAGUCUGCAACUCGACUCCAUGAAGUCGGAAUCGCUAGUAAUCGUGGAUCAGAAUGCCACGGUGAAUACGUUCCCGGGCCUUGUACACACCGCCCGUCACACCAUGGGAGUGGGUUGCAAAAGAAGUAGAUAGCUUAACCUUCGGGAGGGCGCUUACCACUUUGUGAUUCAUGAAG